GACGAACGCUGGCGGCGUGCUUAACACAUGCAAGUCGAACGGAAAGGCCCUGCUUUUGUGGGGUGCUCGAGUGGCGAACGGGUGAGUAACACGUGAGUAACCUGCCCUUGACUUUGGGAUAACUUCAGGAAACUGGGGCUAAUACCGGAUAGGAGCUCCUGCUGCAUGGUGGGGGUUGGAAAGUUUCGGCGGUUGGGGAUGGACUCGCGGCUUAUCAGCUUGUUGGUGGGGUAGUGGCUUACCAAGGCUUUGACGGGUAGCCGGCCUGAGAGGGUGACCGGCCACAUGGGGACUGAGAUACGGCCCAGACUCCUACGGGAGGCAGCAGUGGGGAAUAUUGCACAAUGGGCGGAAGCCGGAUGCAGCAACGCCGCGUGCGGGAUGACGGCCUUCGGGUUGUAAACCGCUUUCGCCUGUGACGAAGCGUGAGUGACGGGAAUGGGUAAAGAAGCACCGGCUAACUACGU
rnacentral:rRNA from 1 species